ACCAUUGCCAUAUCACCCUGCAGCUUUCGCCUAGUGUCACACUGAAGUUAAGCAGGGUUGAGACUGGCCAGUACCUGGAUGGGAGAGCUUCUGGGGAAAACUAAGAUUGAUGCUGGAA
rnacentral:rRNA from 1 species